rnacentral:rRNA from 1 species
UACGUAGGAGGCAAGCGUUGUCCGGAGUUACUGGGCGUAAAGGGCCCGCAGGCGGUGGAGUAAGUUUGGAGUGACAGUUCCCAGCUUAACCGGGAAAGGACUUCGAAAACUGCUCGACUUUGAGGACUGGAGAGGAAGGCGGAAUUCCGGGUGGAGCGGUGAAAUGCGUAGAUAUCGGAAGGAACACCUGUGGCGAAAGCGGCUCACUGGACCAUUACUGACGCUGAUGCACGAAAGCUAGGGGAGCAAACAGG